rnacentral:rRNA from 1 species
AUCUCAGAUCAGGUGA